rnacentral:rRNA from 1 species
CGCGUAGACGGUUUUGUAAGUCAGAUGUGAAAUCCCUGGGCUCAACCUGGGAACUGCAUUUGAUACUGCAUGGCUAGAGUAUGGAAGAGGGAAGUGGAAUUUCCGGUGUAGCGGUGAAAUGCGUAGAUAUCGGAAGGAACACCAGUGGCGAAAGCGACUUCCUGGUCCAAUACUGACGUUCAUGUGCGAAAGCGUGGGGAGCAAACAGGAUUAGAUACCCUGGUAGUCCACGCCAUAAACGAUGACAACUAGAUGUUGGGAGGGUCUGCCUCUCGGUGUCGCAGCUAACGCGUUAAGUUGUCCGCCUGGGGAGUACGGCCGCGAGGUUGAA